UACGAAGGUGGCAAGCGUUGUUCGGAUUUACUGGGCGUACAGGGAGCGUAGGCGGUUGGAUAAGCCCUCCGUGAAAUCUCCAGGCUUAACCUGGAACAGUCGGAGGGGACUGCUGGGCUAGAGGACGGGAGAGGAGCGCGGAAUUCCCGGUGUAGCGGUGAAAUGCGUAGAGAUCGGGAGGAAGGCCGGUGGCGAAGGCGGCGCUCUGGAACGUUUCUGACGCUGAGGCUCGAAAGCGUGGGGAGCAAACAGG
rnacentral:rRNA from 1 species